AUGACCGUAACCAUCAGCAGGGGAACAGGGACCGACGCCGGACUGUACUCGUGUGCGGCGGCACGAUCCCCCACAGGUUUCACUUUUGUCACUGUAUAUGAAGGUGGAGAAGUUCAGCACAGAUGCCCGUAUGAACAGAUUCAUGGUGAACAUGUCAAGCAGCUCUAUAAGCAGGAAAGUUCCCGUCUGGGAGACGUUCUCAUUCAGAGUGUGGAGGGGCGGGACGAAGCCGUACACGGAAUAUUCGCACUGUCUGACAACACCACCGCCCGAGUCCUCACGGUGUCCAUCACCGGCCUGGCCGCUGAGGGUUCUGGGACCGGCAACCUUCAGAUUAUGGUGCCGCUUCCUUAACUGCGAGACCACAGCUUCCCCCAGACUUAGACUUUUAUAGUCCGAGUUAUAGAAUGUCGAAUCAUUUUGUAAUAUUUUUUUUAGAAAGCUGUAUUUUACAUAUUUUUUAGGUCUCUUCGGUACAAUGUGAAUACGAUGAGAUCAAAGACACCAGCCGUCCUCCACAUGAGGGGACUGGAGACUCCACACUCAGCCCUGAUCAAGCCACCAUGAAGGCCACCGACGACGUCACCUACUCCACAGUGACGUUCCAAGAGAGCUCAGGCUGCAGCAGCGGAGUCGGAACGGAGGACGUUAGCUGUGAAUAUUCCGUUGUCGGUCACCAGCAGAGGUGAUGGAGGCGACUGAUCCAUGCGCCUGGGCCAUUAGAACCAACACAGACCACAGGGGGGAUGCCACCUGGUGGCCACAACAACAAAAACC
ensembl:lncRNA